UACGGAGGGUGCAAGCGUUGUCCGGAAUCAUUGGGUGUAAAGGGUGCGCAGGCUGGCGCCUAAGUCGGAGCUGAAAUCUUGCCGCUUAACGGUACAAUUGCCCCCGAUACUGGGUGUCUUGAAUCUGACAGAGGUCGGUGGAAUUCGUGGUGUAGCGGUGAAAUGCAUAGAUAUCACGCAGAACAUCAGUGGCGAAGGCGGCCGGGUGGGUCAGUAUUUACGCUGAGGCACGAGAGCGUGGGGAGCGAACGGG
rnacentral:misc_RNA from 1 species